ensembl:lncRNA
GAGAACAUUGAUUUUAUUACAAAUAGCCCUAAGUGAUAGAACACAUAUUCUGAUGUUUUUAUACUCCAAUUUGCUGUUUUCCUUUGUCAAACUGUUAACAGUGUCUUGUUUCAACACCUCAGCACCCAGAAGUUGUGGGUGUGGGUACAAAAAAAUUGAUAAUAAUGUGCAAAAAGGAUGGCAUUUUAAAUGCAUCAACUCUGGGUUUCGUACACUUUGUUAAAAACAACUACAGGUCAGGCAAGGGCUCAGGCUUUUAUUUGGACGAAAAUAACAUACACAUAAUGACAUGCGGACAACUUUUAACUUUCCAAUUUGAAGCUGGGUGCUUUCACAGGAAAGCAGUGGCGGCCCGAGAGCAGCCAGAAGGCAGCAGUGUGAACAAAGGAGCUUCCGCACGGCACACCAGGAAGCAGCCAGCCACCACCAGUAUCACACUGCUGAGGAGGACUACACGUCAAGGGGACCAAUAUUCUCAUUAUGGGCCAUUUCCAUAACCGACCAGGGAGAGUUUAGACUUCACAGUAUACAACUGUGAUUCGAACCACUGCAACCGUACCACAAAUGUGGUCUACUCAUAGCAUGCAGUUGGUCUGUGGAAAGACUGGCUGGUUACUUUGAUGAUAUGGAGACGUCACCGUGGGGAAGAGCCAACGUUUGACUGACACCAUCGGCGUCCAAUCAGCGACCGUAUCGCUCGGGGGAAGGGGAACGCAAAUAGACACCCGGAUGUGUAAAUAAAUACAAGGAAUUUGAUGCAUUUGAGGGGUAUUAAUAAUUGCAUUUCUACUGUAUGCGGUGAUCAAUCAGAAAUGUCAUGUGUCCCUACAAUUUUCAUGGCCAGCCAGCUUGCUCUGUGAGUGUGCUCGUUUUCAUCAGGGUCUAUAUGAAUUCACCUAUAAUACAAAAGACUAAUUCAUUAGGGAAUUAUGAAAUGCAGCGUCUUUUAUACGAAAACACAAUAUUCCCACUGUUAUAAAAGUAGGUCAGUAUAUUUCCCACUUUGUGUAUAGUGGUCAAGACACUACUUGUGCUCGGCG